UACGGGGGGGCAAGCGUUGUUCGGAAUUACUGGGCGUAAAGGGCUCGUAGGUGGCCAACUAAGUCAGACGUGAAAUCCCUCGGCUUAACCGGGGAACUGCGUCUGAUACUGGAUGGCUUGAGUUUGGGAGAGGAACGCGGAAUUCCAGGUGUAGCGGUGAAAUGCGUAGAUAUCUGGAGGAACACCCGUGGUGCAGACGGCUUGCUGGACCUCCACUGACGCUGAGGCACGAAAGCGUGGGGAGCAAACAGG
rnacentral:rRNA from 1 species